rnacentral:rRNA from 1 species
UACAGAGGUCCCAAGCGUUGCUCGGAAUCACUGGGCGUAAAGGGUGCGUAGGCGGGUCUUUAAGUCAGGGGUGAAAUCCUGGAGCUCAACUCCAGAACUGCCUUUGAUACUGAAGAUCUUGAGUUCGGGAGAGGUGAGUGGAACUGCGAGUGUAGAGGUGAAAUUCGUAGAUAUUCGCAAGAACACCAGUGGCGAAGGCGGCUCACUGGCCCGAUACUGACGCUGAGGCACGAAAGCGUGGGGAGCAACAGGG